GGAUUUCCUGCUUCAACAGUGCUUGAGUGGAAUCC
rfam:Dipodomys ordii contig_44069, whole genome shotgun sequence.